rnacentral:rRNA from 1 species
UACGUAGGGGCCUAGCGUUGUCCGGAAUUAUUGGGCGUAAAGAGCUCGUAGGCGGUUCGGCAAGUCGGAUGUGAAAUCUCCACGCUCAACGUGGAGGGGCCAUUCGAAACUGCCGUGACUCGAGUCCGGUAGGGGAGUGUGGAAUUCCCGGUGUAGCGGUGAAAUGCGUAGAUAUCUGGAGGAACACCGGUGGCGAAGGCGGCAUCCUGGACCGGCAUUGACGCUGAACAGCGAAAGCCAGGGGAGCAAACGGG